CCUACGGGUGGCAGCAGUGAGGAAUAUUGGUCAAUGGGCGCGAGACUGAACCAGCCAAGUAGCGUGAAGGAGGAAUGCCCUGCGUGUUGUAAACUUCUUUUAUCAGGGAAUAAAGUGAGGCACGUGUGCCUUUAUGUAUGUACUUUAUGAAUAAGGAUCGGCUAACUCCGUGCCAGCAGCCGCGGUAAUACGGAGGAUCCGAGCGUUAUCCGGAUUUAUUGGGUUUAAAGGGAGCGUAGAUGGGUUGUUAAGUCAGUUGUGAAAGUUUGGGGCUCAACCGUAAAAGUGCAAUUGAUACUGGCAGCCUCGAGUACAGUUGAGGUAGGCGGAAUUCGUGGUGUAGCGGUGAAAUGCUUAGAUAUCACGAAGAACUCCGAUUGCGAAGGCAGCGUGCCGUGUCGCCACUGACGCUGAGGCACGAAAGCGUGGGGAUCGAACAGGAUUAGAUACCCUUGUAGUC
rnacentral:rRNA from 1 species